CUUCAGGGCAAUGGAAUCCCUUCUGGCCCAGAUAAGGUUCAAAAAUUCCACCUAAUAACUAAGGCCUGAAAUUGUGGCCCCCAAGAAACCACUUGGUACUCUACCUGACUGAGGCUGAGCUGGUACACAAGCUGCAAGACAAAGUCCUCUUAACUCUUCCUUCUCGUGUCCUCAAGAAGAGGGAAGAAGUCUUUCCUGGAGCUGUGAGCUGCACUGCCUGGGACUGGGAGAAGGGUGACAUAAGCACUCCUUUGGCCAACUGUCCUGGUAUCUCACUAAAUUGGGUGCCCCUCAAGUCCACUGGCUCUCAGCCCAGUACAGCAGUAGGACUUGCCCAGGAAUUGCAGUCUUGGAGUCCUAGACUGUCUUUUAAGUUUAUUUUGAAUCCCAUAGCACUUUAGCCUACUGUCGUGGGGUUAAGCAGAACUCAGGUUCUGACCUCUGGGAUGGUAAUUCCUCUUUGGCUAUGACUGGUAUAAGUGUUCUCUCCAUGGGUGCUGGCUGUAUUCUACCCUGGAAUGUUUUCCACUGUGACAGGGCAGCACUGAGUUCUAAUGAAAUGUUCCAUCAUCACUUUACCUUCCCUCCCCCAAGCAGUCAGUUUCUCUCUUUGUGCCACAUGGCCAUUGCCAGGGUGGGGAGAAUGUGGGAGGGUUGAUGUUGGCAAUUCAAGACUGUCUUUCCUACUGUCUUCAGUUUUUCUUAAUAGGAUGUUAAAACCAGUUUCGCAUCCAAAAUCAUACUUUCCAGAAAAGAAAGCUAAGAUCCAAAGAUGUUAAUGAUCUGCUGAAGACCCCACAUAUAUGUAGAAGCAAUGUCAGGACUAGAAGUUGGUUGCUUGAUUUUAUGUCACUGCUUUCUCUGACACAUAAUAAAAUUUAUGUUUUAUCCUUUAGUGGGGAAAAGUGUUAUUAACGUAUCAUAAAUAUUUUGUUUAAUAUUUUCCAAUAAUUCAUAGAGGCACAUACACAAAAUUUAAAAUUUACAAAAAGAAUCUAGUUGAAGGGAAAUGUCAGGUCAAAACACAUGUAUGCACAAUGAUGAGAUCCCUGGAUAUCUCCCUUCAUUACACUUCUAGAACACUGGAAGCCAGGAUUUUACCCUUUAGUACAGAGAGGGAGAGCCUUCUUUGAGGAAUAUAAUCAGUUCAAGAGGAAAUAAAUAACUGACAUUGAGAAAUUAGCAGUUAUCUGAAAAAAAGCCUCUAUAAAAAAAGCAGUCAUUAAAAAACAAACAAAAAACAAACAAACAAAAAAAAAAAACCCGGAAAACUUAAAGAUAGUGUCAUAGUCAGCAUUCUCCAGAAACAGACGUUGAGAUGAGAUUUUUGUAAA
rnacentral:lncRNA from 1 species